rnacentral:piRNA from 1 species
UAGGACCUCGCUGCUAAUGCUG